GGGAUUGUAGCUUAAAGGAUUAGAGCACGUGGUUACUAACCACAGUGUUAGGAGUUCGAAUCCCUCCCUGCCCA
rfam:Populus trichocarpa isolate Nisqually-1 chromosome 6, whole genome shotgun sequence.